rnacentral:rRNA from 1 species
CGCGGCCUAUCAGCUUGUUGGUGAGGUAAUGGCUCACCAAGGCGACGACGGGUAGCCGGCCUGAGAGGGUGACCGGCCACACUGGGACUGAGACACGGCCCAGACUCCUACGGGAGGCAGCAGUGGGGAAUAUUGCACAAUGGGCGAAAGCCUGAUGCAGCGACGCCGCGUGAGGGAUGACGGCCUUCGGGUUGUAAACCUCUUUCAGUAGGGAAGAAGCCCCUUUUUGGGGUGACGGUACUUGCAGAAGAAGCGCCGGCUAACUACGUGCCAGCAGCCGCGGUAAUACGUAGGGCGCAAGCGUUAUCCGGAAUUAUUGGGCGUAAAGAGCUCGUAGGCGGUUUGUCGCGUCUGCCGUGAAAGUCCGAGGCUCAACCUCGGAUCUGCGGUGGGUACGGGCAGACUAGAGUGAUGUAGGGGAGACUGGAAUUCCUGGUGUAGCGGUGAAAUGCGCAGAUAUCAGGAGGAACACCGAUGGCGAAGGCAGGUCUCUGGGCAUUUACUGACGCUGAGGAGCGAAAGCAUGGGGAGCGAACAGGAUUAGAUACCCUGGUAGUCCAUGCCGUAAACGUUGGGCACUAGGUGUGGGGGACAUUCCACGUUUUCCGCGCCGUAGCUAACGCAUUAAGUGCCCCGCCUGGGGAGUACGG